rnacentral:rRNA from 1 species
UAGGGAAUCUUCGGCAAUGGGGGGAACCCUGACCGAGCAACGCCGCGUGAGUGAAGAAGGUUUUCGGAUCGUAAAGCUCUGUUGUUAAGGAAGAACGAGUGUGAGAAUGGAAAGUUCAUGCUGUGACGGUACUUAACCAGAAAGGGACGGCUAACUACGUGCCAGCAGCCGCGGUAAUACGUAGGUCCCGAGCGGUGUCCGGAUUUAUUGGGCGUAAAGCGAGCGCAGGCGGUUAGAAAAGUCUGAAGUGAAAGGCAGUGGCUCAACCAUUGUAGGCUUUGGAAACUGUUUAACUUGAGUGCAGAAGGGGAGAGUGGAAUUCCAUGUGUAGCGGUGAAAUGCGUAGAUAUAUGGAGGAACACCGGUGGCGAAAGCGGCUCUCUGGUCUGUAACUGACGCUGAGGCUCGAAAGCGUGGGGAGCAAACAGG